rnacentral:lncRNA from 1 species
CAUAUUGCAGAAAUUGUAGAUAAAUUGUAGAUUAUUUGUAUUCUGAUUGUAGAUGCUUUAUUUUCUGUUUUCACAAAUAAAAACUUCUACAAAUCUUCUGAAAAAACGCAAUUAUCUCAAAAAUCCCAAUUAUGCUACAAUUGAAUGAGAAUUGGGAUAUAAAAAUUCAAUGUACCCAGUUUGUAGAUAUUUUGUAGAUAAAUUGUAGAUUAUUUGUAUUCUAAUUAUAGAUGCUUUGUUUUCUGUUUUCACAAAUCCAAAAUGACUAAAACUUCUACAAAAUCUUCUGCAAAAAAUGCAAUUAUGUCGAAAAACCAAUUAAGCUAUAAUUGAUUGGGAAUUGGGAUAUUAAAAUUCAAUGUACCCAGUUUGUAGAUAUUUUGUAGAUAAAUUGUAGAUUAUUUGUAUUCUGAUUUUAGAUGCUUUGUUUUCUGUUUUCACAAAUUAAAAACGACUAAAACUUCUACAAAUCUUCUGCAAAAAACAAUCUACAAUUUAGUAUAAAUGUAGUAAUUAUGUAGAUACCCUUACAAAUAAUACUGCUUUAUACAUACUUAAACUGAUUUGUUGUAUAUUUGUAGAAUUUUUGUAGAAAAUAUACUGAAAGAUAUGUUCUUUCAGUAUAUAUCUAGCAUAUUCUCUGUUGCUAAUUGAUUCUGUUUUCAUCUUAUCUCUAACUGGAAUGGUUCUGAUGGAUGUUUGAAUUGGGAAAUAUUACUGUAAGAUUUCCAGUUAAUAUUACCGAACAUUCCCAAGAAAUGCAGUAUUUAUUCACCAAAAGUUGCUAUUGAUUUUCCAUCACAACUAAUAGCAUCAUCUGGAAUAUAUGGAAGAACCAAAAGC